UUAGUAUUUGGUCGUAGACCCGAAACCAGGUGAUCUACCCUUGGUCAGGUUGAAGUUCAGGUAACACUGAAUGGAGGACCGAACCGACUUACGUUGAAAAGUGAGCGGAUGAACUGAGGGUAGCGGAGAAAUUCCAAUCGAACCUGGAGAUAGCUGGUUCUCUCCGAAAUAGCUUUAGGGCUAGCCUCAAGUGAUGAUUAUUGGAGGUAGAGCACUGUUUGGACGAGGGGCCCCUCUCGGGUUACCGAAUUCAGACAAACUCCG
rnacentral:rRNA from 1 species